rnacentral:lncRNA from 1 species
CGUGUGGAUCACUGUUGGAGGGUGGACACUUAGAUACCUUAUGAAAAUUGAAUUAGCACUAUAGGUAUUCUUCUGAUCUAAAUUUAUUUUAAAUAUACUUUGAUUAAUAUAGUCAAGAGUUUCUAGGCAUUAGAGCUUCCGAUGCAUCGAAUAUUUUUAAUAAAAAUUUUAAACACCUAACCCUUCCACUGCACCACCGGAACCCAACAUUAAAACCAUUGCCUAGACCUAUGGGAUUCAUUAUAAUCUUAAAAAUAAUAUUAAGAUGCAGUAUAUAAUGAAUCAAAAUACUUAUUUUAUUAAAUAUCAACAUCAAUUACAUGAGUUUGGAAGAUAAAUUACAGAAAAUAUCCGAUCACAUCUCAUAUAUGAUUGGCUUGUAGGACAUUAUUCUUUCAAUCUCCUAUUUGCACUAAAGUCAAUCACCUCUAUACUUCAUGCCCAUACAAUCAAGAUGGCAGUCAAACUGCUACAAUGACAAGGCCUUAGUGAAUGGAUCUACUAUAUUGUUCUUGGUAUCAACUCGAUCCACGAUCACAUCGCAUCUUUCGACUGUCUCUCGAAUAAGG